GCGUUUAAACACGGGUUCCCUUUCGAUCAGCGAAGUUAAGCAGCGUCGAGCCUGGUCAGUACGUAGAUUGGUGGCCGUUUGGAAGUAACAGGGGCUGUAAG